rnacentral:rRNA from 1 species
UACAGAGGAGCCAAGCGUUGUCCGGAUUGACUGGGCGUAAAGCGCACGCAGGCGGAUGCGCGCGUGGGGUGUGAAAUCUGGCCGCUUAACGGCCAGGCGCCAUCCCAUACGGCGCGUCUGGAGCUAUGCAGAGGUCGGUGGAAUUGCCGGUGUAGUGGUGAAAUGCGUAGAGAUCGGCAGGAACACCCAGGGGGAAACCAGCCGACUGGGCAUCUGCUGACGCUGAGGUGCGAGAGCGUGGGGAGCGAACCGG